ACAUGCAAGUCGAGGGGUAACGGAAGUAGCUUGCUACUAGACGACGACCGGCGCACGGGUGAGUAACGCGUAUGUUAUCUGCCUUGUACAGAGGGAUAGCCCAGAGAAAUUUGGAUUAAUACCUCAUAGUAUUACUGAAUCGCAUGAUUUGGUAAUUAAAGCUCCGGCGGUACAAGUUGAACAUGCGUGACAUUAGCUAGUUGGUAAGGUAACGGCUUACCAAGGCCACGAUGUCUAGGGGUUCUGAGAGGAUGAUCCCCCACACUGGUACUGAGACACGGACCAGACUCCUACGGGAGGCAGCAGUGAGGAAUAUUGGUCAAUGGACGCAAGUCUGAACCAGCCAUCCCGCGUGAAGGAUGACUGCCCUAUGGGUUGUAAACUUCUUUUUAUGCAAAUAACCUACUUUCGUGAAAGUACUGAAGGUAGCAUAUGAAUAAACACCGGCUAACUCCGUGCCAGCAGCCGCGGUAUACGGAGGUGUAGCGUUAUCCGGAUUAUUGGGUUA
rnacentral:rRNA from 1 species